rnacentral:rRNA from 1 species
GAUGAACGCUAGCUACAGGCUUAACACAUGCAAGUCGAGGGGAAACGAUAUUGGAAGCUUGCUUCCGAUAGGCGUCGACCGGCGCACGGGUGAGUAACGCGUAUCCAACCUGCCCACCACUUGGGGAUAACCUUGCGAAAGUAAGACUAAUACCCAAUGAUAUCUCUAGAAGACAUCUGAAGGAGAUUAAAGAUUUAUCGGUGAUGGAUGGGGAUGCGUCUGAUUAGCUUGUUGGCGGGGUAACGGCCCACCAAGGCGACGAUCAGUAGGGGUUCUGAGAGGAAGGUCCUCCACAUUGGAACUGAGAUACGGUCCUAACUCCUACGGGAGGCAGCAGUGAGGAAUAUUGGUCAAUGGGCGAGAGCCUGAACCAGCCAAGUAGCGUGCAGGAUGACGGCCUUAUGGGUUGUAAACUGCUUUUAUAAGGGAAUAAAGUGAGCCUCGUGAGGCUUUUUGCAUGUACCUUAUGAAUAAGGACCGGCUAAUUCCGUGCCAGCCGCCGCGGUAA